GCCUGGAGUGAAGAUUCUGCCCAUUGGUCAAGAGACCUCCCUCUCAGAUGCUGGCUCUGCCCCUGCCUUUGGGGGUCGACCCUUGUACUCGCAGGACCUUAGGUGACUCUAUUCUACUUCUCUGAUCAUCCAGGAAGCCAACCUGCCUGAGGACGAGUCAUACUCUGUCCUCCCACCCCAGGCCAGAGAGUGGUAUCUGUCUUUCCACAAGUUCUUGAUGCAGAUGAGCAGGUAACCAUGGAAGUCGUGAGCUGAGGCUGCAGAGUCUAGAGCCAGAGUGUGGAAUAAACUUGGGUCUCAAAUCACCCCUGGAGCAAAGCACCCAUCUAAUCAGGAACUUCUACUUUCAACUUUACAUGCGUGAGAAAUGAACUUCUAUCAUGUUAGAAGAAGCAGCUACAACUAAGAAGAAUACGCUUCUUGUCAAGAUGGCACAUAUGCACAGGCUACCGGCUGUCUCCUCCAGUAUCCUGGAAAAACUACAAGAAAACAUGGAUUCCAGGAAACAGUAACUACAGCACAGAAUAUA
ensembl:lncRNA HRG-AS1 HRG and FETUB antisense RNA 1